UACAGAGGUCCCAAGCGUUGUUCGGAUUCACUGGGCGUAAAGGGUGCGUAGGUGGUUCUGCAAGUCUGAUGUGAAAUCUCCGGGCUUAACCUGGGAACUGCAUUUGUGACUGCACAGCUGGAGUGCGGCAGAGGGGGAUGGAAUUCCGCGUGUAGCAGUGAAAUGCGUAGAUAUGCGGAGGAACACCGAUGGCGAAGGCAAUCCCCUGGGCCUGCACUGACGCUCAUGCACGAAAGCGUGGGGAGAAACAGG
rnacentral:rRNA from 1 species